UACGGAGGAUCCAAGCGUUAUCCGGAUUUAUUGGGUUUAAAGGGUGCGUAGGCGGAAGAAUAAGUCAGUGGUGAAAGUUUGCAGCUCAACUGUAAAAUUGCCGUUGAAACUGUUUUUCUUGAGUGUAAAUGAGGUAGGCGGAAUGUGUUGUGUAGCGGUGAAAUGCUUAGAUAUAACACAGAACACCAAUUGCGAAGGCAGCUUACUGGGAUACAACUGACGCUGAGGCACGAAAGCGUGGGGAUCAAACAGG
rnacentral:rRNA from 1 species